ACGCGAUAGCCCUUCCUGGCCUUGCUGUGGUUCCUUUUGCCGGUGGGCGACACGACGGCCACGAUCAGCUCGUCCUCCCGCAGGGAGAUGAAAGGCGACAGACCAUCCAAAGGUUUCCUUCCAGAUAGAUCCUGCUUCUUCAAAGUUUCCAAUUGCUGACUGGAUUGAAGCACUGUAUCUCUGAAAGCAGAUCUGACAGCUCUCCUCCGUUCGGAGGCUUCAACUUAACUGUGAUCAACAGAUGAGAACUAGUCGGUCCCUGACUUUGUUUCACACAUAACUACGGCACUCAGUCAGGAAGCACUUUGCCAGACAUAAUACAGAGCAACGUGUGUGUCUUUCUCUUGGUCCUAAUGCCCUCGCUGUGCUUGUCCUAUCAAAUCAAAACUUUGCAAAAGCCACAAGAGGUGAAAUACAAGAAGCAAAACAUUGUAUUAGAAAAGAAAUCAAGGCAUACCAUCGAUUGCUGUUACUUCUGAGUAGCUAUAUUAGACUGAGAAUGCUCGGAGUAAGAAGCAAGAAUUUUAUAAACUGAAUAAAAGAUGUAGUGCA